rnacentral:rRNA from 1 species
CAGUCGCCGCGGUAAUACGUAGGUGGCAAGCGUUGUCCGGAAUUAUUGGGCGUAAAGGGCUCGCAGGCGGUUUCUUAAGUCUGAUGUGAAAGCCCCCGGCUCAACCGGGGAGGGUCAUUGGAAACUGGGAAACUUGAGUGCAGAAGAGGAGAGUGGAAUUCCACGUGUAGCGGUGAAAUGCGUAGAGAUGUGGAGGAACACCAGUGGCGAAGGCGACUCUCUGGUCUGUAACUGACGCUGAGGAGCGAAAGCGUGGGAAGCGAACAGGAUUAGAUACCCCUGUAGUCCCUGUCUCUUAUAC